rnacentral:rRNA from 1 species
CUGUGGUGUGGCACGGGAGGGGCGGAAAACGUGAGGGCAGCGGGCGUGUGCGGAAUGAUCGGGGGUAGAGAGGUCGUAGGCGGGUGGGCGCGGCUGCUGGGAAAAUGCGGGGCUUAGCUCCGCACGUGCAGUGGGUACGUGCAGGCUAGAGUGCGGUAGGGGGGACUGGAAUUCCUGGUGUAGCGGUGGAAUGCGCAGAUAUCAGGAGGAACACCGAUGGCGAAGGCAUGUCACUGGGCCGUUACUGACGCUGAGGAGCGAAAGCAUGGGGAGCGAACAGGAUUAGAUACCCCGGUAGUC